GAGUUCGCGGGAGAGUAAGUUAUUGCCAGGGUUUUUAUUUUAUACUUUAAACCUUAAAUUUAUUUUUUAUAUUUUUUUAAUGUUCAUGUUUUUGAAUGUUUUAUUCAAAUAAUGUAAAAAAUAAAAUAGAUAUUGACAUGGAUUGAACAAAAGAUAUAUAUUAUUUUAUGUUGCAUAAACAAAUUGGCAAAAUAGAGAUGGAAGAUAAAAAUAUGGUCAAAGUAAUAAGAGUCUAUGGUGAAUGCC
rnacentral:misc_RNA from 1 species